rnacentral:rRNA from 1 species
CAGCAGCCGCGGUAAUACGAAGGGGGCUAGCGUUGUUCGGAUUUACUGGGCGUAAAGCGCACGUAGGCGGACUUUUAAGUCAGGGGUGAAAUCCCGGGGCUCAACCCCGGAACUGCCUUUGAUACUGGGAGUCUUGAGUUCGAGAGAGGUGAGUGGAAUUGCGAGUGUAGAGGUGAAAUUCGUAGAUAUUCGCAGGAACACCAGUGGCGAAGGCGGCUCACUGGCUCGAUACUGACGCUGAGGUGCGAAAGCGUGGGAAGCAAACAGGAUUAGAUACCCGCGUAGUCCCUGUCUCUUAUAC